GACAGAGGUGCCGAGCGUUAGGCGGAAUCACUGGGCUUAAAGCGUGUGUAGGCGGAUCGUUAAGUGCCUUGUGAAAUCCCACGGCUCAACCGUGGAACUGCUUGGCAUACUGGCGAUCUUGAGCCACUUAGGGGCUACCGGAACAAAUGGUGGAGUGGUGAAAUGCGUAGAUAUCAUUUGGAACGCCAAUGGUGAAAACAGGUAGCUGGGAGUGUGCUGACGCUGAGACACGAAAGCCAGGGGAGCAAACGGG
rnacentral:rRNA from 1 species